rnacentral:rRNA from 2 species
GGAUGUGAUCAUACCAGCACUAAAGCACCGGAUCCCAUCAGAACUCCGAAGUUAAGCAUGCUUGGGCGAGAGUAGUACUAGGAUGGGUGACCUCCUGGGAAGUCCUCGUGUUGCAUUCC